UGCGCACGAUGUUCCUACAACACGACGUUACACCACCACGACGUCAAAGAGAGUUUUCUGAAACUUUUGACGUACAUUUAUUCAAUUUGCAAGUUUCCUUUGCUUUUUUUUAUGAAGUUGGUUGAUUCUAAAUCUGUCUCUAUUAAUUUUGUGAUGUCUAUUUACCAUGAAUUUAUUUACCUCAAGUUGUGGAAAUCGAUUAAAUAAUUUUUACCCUUAAUUCACCUUAAAAUGUUGUAUUGUUGUAAGUAAUGAACUUGAAGGAAGGAAACAUGGGACAGAAGUAUACGGUUUUCAAUAAAUGAAUUAUAACAAAACUUUAAUCGCAGGCUGCUAAAAUUGCAUGGUGCAUAUCAUCUGUCAUUGUAAAUUUUUCAUAUCUCGAUUCAACCCUAAUACAAAUAUAUCCGACACUCUGCAAGUAAAUAAAAA
rnacentral:lncRNA from 1 species